rnacentral:rRNA from 1 species
UACGGGGGGGGCAAGCGUUGUUCGGAAUUACUGGGCGUAAAGGGCUCGUAGGCGGCCAACUAAGUCGGAUGUGAAAUCCCCAGGCUCAACCUGGGAACUGCAUCCGAUACUGGAUGGCUUGAAUUCGGGAGAGGGAUGCAGAAUUCCAGGUGUAGCGGUGAAAUGCGUAGAUAUCUGGAGGAAUACCGGUGGCGAAGGCGGCCGCCUGGCCUGUAACUGACGCUGAGACGCGAAAGCCAGGGGAGCAAACAGG